rnacentral:lncRNA from 1 species
UGAUAAUGUCUGGGGGCAUUUUUGUUAAUUUUGCAUUUCUCCAAAUAGUAUUGUAGAGUUUUUAAGUACAGUAAAUUAUCUGGUGUGGGAAUUUCUACACACCCCAUUUAGCAAUACCCUAGGUUGAGCAGUAUUUCUACACACCCCAUUUAGCCAUACCCUAGGUUUAUCUGUAUUUAUACACACCCCAUUUAGCCAUACCCUAGGUUUAGCUGUAUUUCUACACACCCCAUUUAGCCAUACCCUAGGUUUAGCUGUAUUUCUACACACCCCAUUUAGCCAUACCCUAGGUUUAGAUGUAUUUAUACACACCCAAACAACUUCAAGUGGCUAUGGGACACAGAAGAAGAGGGAAGAAGAGUGAGAGAGAAGGGGAGGAGAGAGAGGGAGAUGUUAACAGAGA